GCGGCGAGUGAAGCGGCAAAGCUCAAAUUUGAAAUCUGGCUCUUUCAGAGUCCGAGUUGUAAUUUGAAGAAGGUAUCUUUGGGUCUGGCUCUUGUCUAUGUUUCUUGGAACAGAACGUCACAGAGGGUGAGAAUCCCGUGCGAUGAGAUGAUCCAGGCCUAUGUAAAGUUCCUUCGAAGAGUCGAGUUGUUUGGGAAUGCAGCUCUAAGUGGGUGGUAAAUUCCAUCUAAAGCUAAAUAUUGGCGAGAGACCGAUAGCGAACAAGUACAGUGAUGGAAAGAUGAAAAGAACUUUGAAAAGAGAGUGAAAAAGUACGUGAAAUUGUUGAAAGGGAAGGGCUUGAGAUCAGACUUGGUAUUUUGUAUGUUACUUCUUCGGGGGUGGCCUCUACAGUUUAUCGGGCCAGCAUCAGUUUGGGCGGUAGGAGAAUUGCGUUGGAAUGUGGCACGGCUUCGGUUGUGUGUUAUAGCCUUCGUCGAUACUGCCAGCCUAGACUGAGGACUGCGGUUUAUACCUAGGAUGUUGGCAUAAUGAUCUUAAGUCGCCCGUCUUG
rnacentral:rRNA from 1 species